UCACCGCUUGCGCGGGCAGUCCUAUCAGAGUCCCCGACAUUACUCGCUGGCAACUAAUAGUAGGGGUUGCGCUCGUUGCAGGACUUAACCUAACACCUCACGGCACGAGCUGACGACAGCCAUGCAGCACCUAGUUUCGUGUCCUUGCGGACUAACUCUUUUCGGAGUUAUUCACUAACUUUCAAGCCCAGGUAAGGUUCCUCGCGUAUCAUCGAAUUAAACCACAUGCUCCUCCGCUUGUGCGGGCCCCCGUCAAUUCCUUUGAGUUUCAAUCUUGCGACCGUAUUCCCCAGGUGGAUUACUUAAUGCUUUCGCUCAGAGGCGUGCGGUGUAUUGCACACUUCGAGUAAUCAUCGUUUAGGGCGUGGACUAC
rnacentral:misc_RNA from 1 species